CUAUUGCCGCGGCAUCGCUCCCAGUCUCUAUCUCAUCGCCAUUGUCUCCGUACGUUCUCCCUCCCUAUUAUCCCCAUCUCCGCUUCUUCCUCGUCUCCGUCUCCGUCUCCGAUGGCUCGCCUACUCGCGCAAAGCCUAGCACGCCCUGCCCCAACCUCCGCUUCCCUCCUCCCGCUCCGCGGGUUCGCCACUAAGGUCGAGUUCAUCGAGAUCGACCUCGCCGACGAAGACGCGUCGGCCCCCGGUGCCGCCGCCGGCGACGGCUCCCCGUCGGUUGAGGUUGUGGGGAUCCGGCGCCUGGAGGAGGCCAUCCACGGCGUCAUGGUCCGCCGGUCCACCCCCGAGUGGCUCCCGUUCGUGCCGGGCGGGUCGUUCUGGGUGCCCCCGAUGCGGCGCCCGCACGGGGUCGCCGAGCUCGUCGGCCGGAUCGCGGCCUCCGGGGUCGGCGAAGCCGGCGAAGUGGCCUAUCAGGCGGAGGCCUACGUCCCUAUGACGGAGGAGGAGGAGCUCUCCCUUUCCACAGCUCGGGGAUGGCCCUCGUCCGCCUACUUCGUUGAAGGAAAAUCUCUACGAUCAAAGAAGAGAUCAAUGAAAGAUGCUGCUCAGACUGAUGAUGAUGAAAGCUGACUACUUUGAUCUCCAUUGCUAGGGGGUAAAAGUCGAACUAAACCUUUUUCCAGGGUACCCAUGAGAAAUGUUUGGUAUCCUUUUAUAUAAGUUUGGACCCAUCUGAUCUUGUCUCGACAAGCUGGAGUAAUGAUAGCUGCUCCUACUUUCAUGGAGACUGGUGAACGAUCACCACCAUUUCAUACCUCAAACAUGGAAACAACACAAAAAGAUCCUGAAAAGGCAGCUCAGGGUUACAUGGCUCUGCUGUGACCAUGUACAUACAGAAGGCAAGGACCUCAGCACCGAUUAAUUGCUCCACCACCUGCAUUUGGAAGCUAAAUUAUCGCAACUGCCACCACAAGGUUGUGAUGCUGUAUAUUUCACUCUGAAGUUGUAGUGUUUAUUGUAUCAACCAGCCCUUGAACCAUAAUUUCGUUUGUGACAAUAAGCAUGGAGAGAGGGAAGCAGGAUGAUUGUUUCUCAAAACGGCCAUCAAGAACAACUCUGAAACUGGAGUCUAGCAAGGAUUCUGGAUUGCUUGUUGCGCCUAUUGUGGCAGACAGAAGAAGUGAGUCAAAACAUUCUCUUCUAUCUCCAAUAUUGGAUGAUUACCCAUACUGAACUUUCUCAAAUAUAUUCAUAUGAACUGGGAGUGUCUAGUUGGUAAGAUUGGUAAGUUUAGAAGUUAUGUGAACAUGUAUGAAUAAGUUUAAUAUCUUGUGUUAUCAUUUAUGACAACAUGCAGCUUUGUAUGCGAACUUUCUCUCAUCAAGUUUCAAAUACGAAUGAGGUAUUUGCAGA